AUACGGAGGGUGCAGGCGUUAUCCGGAAUCAUUGGGUUUAAAGGGUCCGUAGGCGGGCGAUUAAGUCAGAGGUGAAAUCCCACAGCUCAACUGUGGAACUGCCUUUGAUACUGGUUGUCUUGAGUUACAGUGAAGUAGAUAGAAUGUGUAGUGUAGCGGUGAAAUGCAUAGAUAUUACACAGAAUACCGAUUGCGAAGGCAGUCUACUAACUGUAUACUGACGCUAAUGGACGAAAGCGUGGGGAGCGAACAGGAUUAGAAACCCUAGUAGUCC
rnacentral:rRNA from 1 species